UUCGCAAUGCCCGAAAGGGUGACGAAGCGACGCCGCGUGGGUGAAGAAGGCCUUCGGGUUGUAAAGCCCUGUCAGGAGUUAUGAAAUGUAAGUGUGCUAAUAUCACAUUUAUUUGACAAAGGCUCCAAAGGAAGCCACGGCUAACUCUGUGCCAGCAGCCGCGGUAAUACAGAGGUGGCAAGCGUUGUUCGGAAUUAUUGGGCGUAAAGCGCGCGUAGGCGGCCUAGCAAGUCGGGUGUGAAAUCCCCUGGCUCACCCAGGGAACUGCAUCCGAUACUACUAGGCUUGAGGACAGGAGGGGAGAGUGGAACUUCUGGUGGAGCGGUGAAAUGCGUAGAUAUCAGAAGGAACAUCGGUGGUGAAAGCGACUCUCUGGCCUGUAUCUGACGCUGAGGUGCGAAAGCUAGGGGAGCAAACGGGAUUAGAUACCCCGGUAGUCCUAGCCGUAAACGAUGGGCACUAAGUAGAGGGGUUUUA
rnacentral:rRNA from 1 species